rnacentral:rRNA from 1 species
CCCUGUAGUCUAGCGUAAACGAUGAUACUAGGCGUGGUUUGUAUCGACCAAGCCGUGCCGAAGCUAACGCGUUAAGUAUCCCGCUGGGGAGUACGCACGCAAGUGUGAAACUCAAAGGAAUUGACGGGGGCCCGCACAAGCGGUGGAGGAUGUGGUUUAAUUCGAUGCAACGCGAAGAACCUUACCAGGGCUUGACAUCCCGCGAAUCUUGCUGAAAGGCGAGAGUGCCUUCGGGAGCGCGGAGACAGGUGGUGCAUGGCUGUCGUCAGCUCGUGUCGUGAGAUGUUGGGUUAAGUCCCGCAACGAGCGCAACCCUCGUCCUUAGUUGCCAGCAUUAAGUUGGGCACUCUAGGGAGACUGCCGGUGACAAACCGGAGGAAGGUGAGGAUGACGUCAAGUCAGCAUGCCCCUUAUGCUCUGGGCAACACACGUCCUACAAUGGUCGGGACAAAGGGGAGCAAGCUCGCGAGAGUAAGCGAAUCCCAGCAAACUCGGCCUCAGUUCAGAUUGCAGGCUGCAACUCGCCUGCAUGAAGGAGGAAUCGCUAGUAAUCGCAGGUCAGCAUACUGCGGUGAAUUCGUUCCCGGGCCUUGUACACACCGCCCGUCACACCAUGGAAGCUGGCCAAGCCCGAAGUCGUUACCCUAACCGUUUGGAGGGGGGCGCCGAAGGCUGGGCUAGUGACUGGGGUGAAGUCGUAACAAGGUA